rnacentral:rRNA from 1 species
AGCGGCGGACGGGUGAGUAACGCGUGGGUAACCUGCCUCAUACAGGGGGAUAACAGUUAGAAAUGACUGCUAAUACCGCAUAAGCGCACAGGACCGCAUGGUCAAGUGUGAAAAACUCCGGUGGUAUGAGAUGGACCCACGUCUGAUUAGUUAGUUGGUGGGGUAACGGCCCACCAAGGCGACGAUCAGUAGCCGGCCUGAGAGGGUGAACGGCCACAUUGGGACUGAGACACGGCCCAAACUCCUACGGAAGGCAGCAG